AGGUUUUGCUCAGCAGAGGUAUGGAAGGAAGAGUGUAGGAAGAGAAGAAAGAAAAGGAUUGAGUCUUAUGUCUAUAAUACCAAAAUCUUAACAAAGUGCAAAUCAAGAAAUGAGACAACAGGAUGUAGAAGUUUAAGCAUAUUAUUUCAGUGUGCAAAGCAUCUCCAUGUUAUUCAGCAUUGGAGCUCAACUACCGACUGUGUCAAUCAAAUAAGAGUAUCAGGUUCCUGUGCUAAAAAUAUUCCAGCUCAAAUCAUCUUGGCAGACAAUACCAGAAAAAACAAACAUUUUUCUGUCUAUUAAAGUGACCAAAUGUUAGGAGACUAAAUAUAAGCAGAAAAGACAAGUAAUAGCUGCAUAACCUUGAGCAAGAUACUGACUGAGCCUCAGCCUUUUCUUCAUUAAAAUGAUAUUUUUAAUGCAGGUCUAUAGUCUUUACUCUGCAAUUCCAAAACAGGACAAAAAACAAAACACUGUGAAACCCAAAGUGUUUUUGUAAGUUUGGCACCAGGAUUAUAUGCCAAAGAAAACCUACUGUGAACAAAUAUGAAGCCUCUAUUGUCUCAGCACUUGUAUCCGUAAGUCACACAUGCCUCUGCUAUUUGCUGAUAUUUUCUGACUUGGGGAUUAAUUCCAUGGAAAAUGUCGAAAAGGGCUAAAGAUAUACCUAUGGGUAACAGUGAGAAGAAGAAAAGGAAGCAUCUGUCUUUAUCAAUAUCUCAGAAAGUGGAGUUAUUGCAGAAACUUGAUGGUGGUAUGUCUGUGAGGUGUCUUACUGAAGAAUAUGGUAUGGGAACCACCACGAUAUAUGACUUAAAGAAACAGACAAGUUGUUGAAAUUUUAUAGUGACAGCAAUAACCAGGAACGAAUGAAAAAUAGAAAAACAUUGCAUAGAGCCAAAAAUGAAGACCUUGACCCUGUGUUGAUUGAAUGGGUUCGACAACAAAGAAGUAAAGAUACACCACUGACUGGUUUGUUGGUCGUGAAACAAGCUAGAAUAUACCAUGAAGAACUGAACUUUGAAGGAGAGUGUGAAUAUUCAGGAGGCUGGCUGCAGAAAUUUAAAAAGUGUCUUGGAAUCAAGUAUCUUCAAAUCUGUGGUGAAAAGGCUUCUCCUGAUGAUGAAGCUACUGAAAAUUACAUUGAUGAAUUUGCUAAGGUAAUAUCUGAUGAAAAUCUUAGCCCUGAACAAAUUUACAGUGCUGAUGAAACAGCUUUGUACUGGUGCUAUGUUCCUAGAAAAACUUUAACAAUGGCUAACAAAAGAGCAACAACAGAUGUCAAAGAUACUAAGCAAAAGUUAACUGUUCUUGAGUGUGCUAAUGCUGCAGGCACACACAAGAUAAAAUUGGCAGUGAUUGGAAAUAGCCUAUAUCCAAGGUGUUUAAAAGGUGUGCAUAAUUUACCUGUACAUUGUUAUGCACACAAGAAAGCAUCAGUAACGGGAAAUCUUUUCCAACUGGUUUGAUAGGCACUUUGUGCCAGCAGCAUGAGCUCAUUGCAAACUGGACUGGAAGACAACUGCAAAAUUUUGUUGUUUCUAGAUAACUGUUCUGCACAACCCCCUCCUGAACAUCUUGCGAAGAGCAAUGCUUUUGGCAUUGACUUUCCCCCCAGUGUGACGUCUGUAAUACAACCUUGUGACCAAGGAAUUCUACACGCCGUGAAGAGCAAGUAUAAACAGUUUUUUGAAAAGCAUCCUUGCUUCAGUUAACAGAGGCCUGAAAAUCCAGGACAUCCUUAAAGAAUUUAAUCUUAAGGAUGCCAUCUUCACAGUUGCUAAUGCUUGGAACGACGUUGAUAAGUCAACAUUAACAAAUGCUUGGCAUAGACUUUGGGCUACAAUUAUGUUUGAAAGUGACCUAGCUGAUGAAGAUUUUGAAAGAGUUCAUGACUCUAAUGAGAAAACAAUGGUAGCAUAAUUCAUUACCUAUGCCAAAAGUUUAUCAGCCAAAAGUGUAAAUAAGUUAGAAGAAGCUAACAUUGAAGAAAGGGUUAACAUUGAUAAUGAUGAACCCAUUGUGCAUCCUAAGAGUGAUGGGGAAAUUGCUGAGAUGGUGUUAAAUGCAGAUCAAUAUGAAGAUGGUAGUAGUAAUGAUGAUGACAUUAUGAAUUUGGGUGAAAAAAAUCUCCAUAGAUCAUAUGGUGAAAAUGUGUGACCGAUUAAUUGCUGGCCUUGAACGAUGUACAUUUAUCAGUGAGCAAGAGCUGAUGACAAUUUACUCAAUUAAAGAGAAACUGCUUAGACAGAAACCUGUGUUAAGGAAGCAGGUGAAACUGGGAAAAGUCUUUAAUAAAGCUCUCUGUGGUAAUGCCGCUUCAUCUCUUGACAAUCCUGUUUCUGGCUCAUCAGAUGUCCAGCUCCAACCUGGUUUCAUAGGCAGUGGUAAUACUGGAACAACCUCUUCUCCAAGAUUCUCAGGCAAUCAAAGGUAACAAACGUUCAUUGCAUGUAUAUGUGUUAUGGGUUAGUUUUCAUCAGUAUAAGUUUUAAAUUUUACUUAAAAUUUCCUUAGAAAUAAGAAGCUUUUUCACAAGUGACAAAACACAUUAAAAGCUUAUGGUAUGUGUGGUCUAUAUUUAUCUUCAUAUUUCAUUUACCAAUAAACGUAUUUAUUUAAAAAUGUUAUUUACCAAUGAAUUUACUAAUAUAUUUUUGUAAAUAAAUUGUAAUAUUAUUUAUGGUUUUGUUUCACUUAGUGUGAAUUUUCACACAUUUAUUCGCAGAAAUAGUAAGAUUAAUGUGUUUCAUUACAUAGUACUGUCCUGUACCCAUUUGGAAUGUUACAAAAUGUAUGCAAUUUAUGUAGUAUAUUCCAAAGGAUUCCAAUUUCAUCCUGAAUUCCAAAAAAUUCUCAUUUCCAAAACACAUUUGGUCCCCAGAGUUUUUAAGAGAUUAUAGACCUGUGAUUCUUUUUUGUUGUGAAUGAUCCAGUGAAAUGAUCAAUGUAAAAUGUCUCACACAAAGUAAAUGCCCAUUAAGUGUAGUUGCUAUUAUUAAUAUUGCGUUACUCUACUUUAAAAAUGUAAGACAAGCUUUUUCUGACAUUGAAGUUAGCAAUAGCAUAGGUAAUGAUAUGCAUUCUUCAAGUUUUAUUACUCUAGGAGAUGCUUUGGCAAUGUGCUGCUGAUAAAGUGUAUUAGAGUAUCUCCUAAAUCUUCAUCCAAGAAUGGAAACAUUUUGCAAAUCAGAGGAUAGAAAAUGUUAUGCUACAUCAAAUUAAAUUGCAUGUUCAUAAAAUAUGAACACAUCUAGUUAGCCCUUAUUAAUCAAAGAAAUAUAAUAUUUUUAUCUGCUGCUAACUAUCCCCUCAGCUCCGUGUGCCAUAAGCACCACACAAACAAUAAUUUAAUCUCCCUUGUGAGCAAAGAUUGAUUUUUAACCCUCUUCAUAUAAUUUCAGCUACUAUUAUAAGACCUUGAACAUAGCUGAAUACAUAAAAUUGGUAUUCUGUUUUGUAAAGAAAGCUGUUAUUAGCCUGAUGAAUGUGAAUUGAUUCCUGUGGCCUUGUCUUCUUUGUUUUGUUUUUUUGUAAUGUUUGUUCAUUUAAAAUAUAAGAUGUGUUGCUUUUCUCUCAUUAUAAAAGGCAUACAUCGUUCUUGUAGAAAACAUGGAAAAUACAAUUUAUAAAGAAGAAAAUAAACUCAUCUCUAAUGUGAC
rnacentral:lncRNA from 1 species